AGAGUUUGAUCAUGGCUCAGAUUGAACGCUGGCGGCAGGCCUAACACAUGCAAGUCGAACGGUAACAGGAAAUGCUUGCAUUUCGCUGACGAGUGGCGGACGGGUGAGUAAUGCUUGGGAAUUUGCCUUUGCGAGGGGGAUAACAGUUGGAAACGACUGCUAAUACCGCAUAAUGUCUACGGACCAAAGGGGGGAGCUUGCUCCUCUCACGUGAAGAGAAGCCCAAGUGAGAUUAGCUAGUUGGUGAGGUAAAGGCUCACCAAGGCGACGAUCUCUAGCUGUUCUGAGAGGAAGAUCAGCCACACUGGGACUGAGACACGGCCCAGACUCCUACGGGAGGCAGCAGUGGGGAAUAUUGCACAAUGGGGGAAACCCUGAUGCAGCCAUGCCGCGUGUGUGAAGAAGGCCUUCGGGUUGUAAAGCACUUUCAGUUGUGAGGAAAGGUUAGUAGUUAAUACCUGCUAGCUGUGACGUUAGCAACAGAAGAAGCACCGGCUAACUCCGUGCCAGCAGCCGCGGUAAUACGGAGGGUGCGAGCGUUAAUCGGAAUUACUGGGCGUAAAGCGCACGCAGGCGGUCUGUUAAGCUAGAUGUGAAAGCCCCGCGCUCAACGUGGGAUGGUCAUUUAGAACUGGCAGACUAGAGUUUUGGAGAGGGGAGUGGAAUUCCAGGUGUAGCGGUGAAAUGCGUAGAUAUCUGGAGGAACAUCAGUGGCGAAGGCGACUCUCUGGCCAAAGACUGACGCUCAUGUGCGAAAGUGUGGGUAGCGAACAGGAUUAGAUACCCUGGUAGUCCACACCGUAAACGAUGUCUACUAGCUAUGUGUGAAUUUAAUUCGUGCGUAGCGCAGCAAACGCGCUAAGUAGACCGCCUGGGGAGUACGGCCGCAAGGUUAAAACUCAAAUGAAUUGACGGGGGCCCCCACAACCGGUGGAACAUGUGGUUUAAUUCCAUGCAACCCCGAAGAACCUUUCCUACCACUUGACAUUGUUGGAGAAAUUACUAAAAAAAAAUUUUCUUGCCUUCCGGGAAAUCAAAACUCAAGGGGCUGCCAUGGGCUGUCUUCACAUCCCUGUCCUGGAGAAGUUUGUGUUUAUUCCUCCCACCCAGACGCAAACCCUCUGUCCUUUUUUUUUCCCCCACUUAAAUUUUGGGCACUUUUUAAGGAGACUGCCCCGGUGCCUAACCCCCCAAAGGAUAGUGUGGGAGUCACACCCUCAAAUCUC
rnacentral:rRNA from 1 species